ensembl:lncRNA
CCUGGCACUCAGCGUUUCAUCAGGAGAAAUGCUUUCUUUGGCUCCUGGAAGAACUGCACAACACAGACAUGCAGAGACAUUCCCAGGAAUGCUGUUUGCUCUCCAAGCCGAGACGAAGAAGAGAAGCGAGAACAGUAAGAGGUUUUGCAGCAAAUCAACCGAACCUUGUGUCAGUGAGAUCAAAAUAGAACCAACAGGAACUUUAAUCUGUCUCUGCUACAGAGAGAUGAAAUCAGUGCAGGCUCCAUAAAAUAAGAGUAAUGGAAACUGUUCAAGGUUAUGAGUAUCUGCAACAACAAAGUGUCUCCCAUUAAGUGAUGCACUGAAGCUGUGCAGAUGAAGUUAUAUGCUCUGGUACCACAACGAGGUACAA